AUGAGGUGGAAAGGAUCUGUGGCUUGGUUUUCAGAAGACCCAUGAAAAGGCUUCCAGCCCAGCGCUUCCCUCCUGGCCCACUGCCAGCAGGCACCCCGGCUGCCUGAACAUUGCACCCACCCUCAUGCCUAGCACUUGGCUCCCGUCACCCCCCAUCCCCCGGCACCAAGGCAAUUCUUCCUUUUGCAUCCAUGGCAAACACAACAUGCCUUGUAAGUACCAGAUACAUCUCGUCCACUUACAUGCCUGCUCCUCCCUCUCCUCUAGUCUUCCUCGCAGAGGACACUGGAAAGUGCUCUUUUACAGGAAUCAGUUUCUUCAAUGAAAAGAUAAUUCAUUCAGAAGAAUCCAGAAAGGAAAUGAGUGUUCUCCCUCCUUACCCCACCAGAUCCUGAAGCAAGAGGGAAGACAUUUUAUUUUACCUUCAGUCAAGCAAUGAUGAUGUCAACAAGUAGUGCAAUUCAAUAGAAUCAAAACAUCUUGCUCCUGCUACCAUUGCUGUUGAAAGUACAGAGAAACAAUGCUCUGGACACAGCCUAGUUAAAGAGUAACCAUUAAUAGUUAAACAGCCCAAAUGACUACAGACAGCACCCUUGCCAUGCUAUUGUCUCUUCUCCCUCUUGCACCUGCACCACCUGCAGAGGCACCCAGAGGGGGCCAGGUCUCUGCCGAUCUGCAGGACAGCAGCGGGGGCCCUGCAGCUCAGGCAGCUGCCUCCCCAUGACAGCUGGGGAGCCCUGGGAGCUGCAGGACCCCAUGGUGUGGCAGAGGCCCAAGGCUUCCUCCUCUGCAGUGAAAUAAGGAGACCCCUAGGCAAUCCUACGUUGCACGGUGUCAGGUGGCGGCAAAAUGGGGAACUGUAACAAGCUCUCUGCUGUUUGCUUUUUCCACUAUAGUUCCCCUUCCUUCUCCAUGGUAUCCCGAAAGCGAAGGGCAUCAAACACACAAGCCACCAUCACAGUUGGAAAAACAGUAUGCAACUUAAGUAAAUAUAACUCAGUUGUACCAAUGAAAUUGAAAACAGGGAAAUGACAUAAAAAGAAUGUACAUUAUUUUAAAUUGCAGGUUUUUAUACGUUCACUUUUAUUGCCUCACUCUUUUAAAUAAAUCCAGGACCUGAUUUACUUUAAUAAAAGUUUAAUUUCA